AUGUUAUGUGACGUGGGUUUUACCUCCAUAAAGAAUUACCCCGGUACGCACUGCUCCCUGUGGACACCGUGGUCACUGACAUGGGGCGGUGUGGCCGCAGCCUCCGGGGAGGAGCCCGGCCCGGCGCCCAUGGAGACGGUCCUGGCCUCGGGAGGGAAGCCUUCACCAUGCAAAGUGCCUAUUUCUGGGCUGACCACUGACUCUGUAAGUCACUUCCUUGCACGCAGGAGAGCAAAGGGCAAGAGUGACUCCUUUCCUAGCCUUAGUGUUGCCAGGAUCAAUAGGUGCGAUCGACUGGAAUUGAGAAAUAGUCUCCAGGUAACACUUAGGAAGAAUCAUCGAGAUCGCUGCGGGGAGAGCGACCGCGGCUGCCCUCCGAGGGGAUGGCCCUGGGGCUCUUGGGGCUCUAACCACUUCAGGGCCAGGGGCAGGGGGUGGGAGGCGUGGCCUCGGUGUGGAUCUGGCUGCUUCUGCUCCUGGAAGCCACCCCGUUCUGUUUUCUGGCAAGCAGGGGAGCUUUCAAGCCUUCCAACUAAGCUGAGGGGUGGGGCUCGGGCAGUGGGCAGUGCCUUGCACGGUCUUGCGGUCAGUACUUGUUCAAGGUGACCUCCCCUAUCAUGAAGUGCAGCGGAGCGGAAAGGCUGUUCCCAACUAUCCUGGGGGGCGCUGUAUAAGGCAGCCUCACCUAAGCAGGUGCCACUUGUGUCACAUGUGGGCCUCAGAAAAUAGACGGAAUCCCAUGCAGGCAGCUGUGCACACCCAAGGGACAUCUGUUCUAACUGGUCAGCACCGACACGAGGCAGUCCUGUGUUGGACCACAGGCGACUGCUCUCCCUCCCAGCUCAAGGAAGGAAACAGCAGGUGCACGAGCGUCUUCAGCCCUUCAGUCCGGGGCCGUGAGGGACACAGUGCUUAAACGUCCCACUCAGCGGCGUUCUCUGGCCACACUGCCUGAGCCGGGAAGUAGCAGAGCCUCUCCCAGGGACGGGUCUAGACUGACCACCCCGGGCUUGG
rnacentral:lncRNA from 1 species